CUGGAUUUUCUGCGGCUUUUCAAAAAUAAUGUUGAUUAAUUAUUAACAAUAUUCAUAACAUUCCACCCAUGAGGCCACUAGGUAAUUUGACUGAAGGAAAGGGCUACACAGAUGAAUGGACUAGAAAGUUGAUCGACUGAUCAUGAUGCCAUGGAAAUUAUAGAAACUUGCUGAUAUUGUAUUAAGACCAAACUUGAGUAACACUGAAAUGGAUAUAAACAGUAACAUUACUGCUAGAAGUAGGCUUACUGUAUAUCGACAGAAAGCACCAAACCUUGGUUCUAAACUGGCACCCUGACUAGACCACCAUGGUCAUAAGACAACACAACACAAGGUCACACGCCAACAUUAUUCCCUCACUGAAACCCAGAGGUGAAGCCACGGCAUGGCCUGGCAAUCAGGCUGGCUUAAAAUAUAUAAAAAACUAUAUAUAUAAAAAAAUGAAACAAAUGAAUUUGAUUUGUUGUUUGUAUUGUCAUCUGACUAAUCAGAAGUGUUGAAAAAUGCGGUGCGACGUUACUGGGAUCUAAUUGGCUAUAUCACAAUCAAAUGGUAGCUAGCUAGUCACAAGUUAUGGCGAAACAAAGUUCACUCAUGCGCUUUUUCUAAAAGCCACAGAUGGAGAAUAAAGACAUAACACCUGCUCCACUACCUCCAUCGGCCGAGCCCGAUCUGGUCAGAGUCGUCGUCAGCCCAUGAGGAGGUUGCAUGGCUACUGCUUAGAGUUCCGAAGGCCAACUAGCUCACCAUCGCCUGGCGGUGCCUCGUCACGGUGAGCAUGACUUCACCCGUCCACCUGCGCGUUUGUCUGUAGUUGACGAACCACCCCCACACUACCAAACAUGCGAGAGUUCCCCACUACAGUGGUCAAUGGGAAAUCGCAGUGUUUCUCAUGGAAGUGGUAUGGACAGUUAUGUUUCACUAUAUUGGAUCACUCCAAUAUAUUGGUAUCACUCCGCGGCAGAGGGAUACAUCCGAGGGGAGGAUUUACAGAUUUACUCCCGUGUACACCUUUGUCACGGCUGGGGUCCGCCCCUAUAUAUAGACCCCAUGGCCACGACACACGUUUAAUUUCAUUUUCUUGGCGGACAUCCGAAUGGUUUGAGGUACAAACUUUCUGAAGUUCGCUUGGGUUUUCUUGUUCUUUCUCCUGCAGAAUGUAAGAGUAUGGUGGUGGGCUGCCACUACGUUGAGACAUUAACUUUGGAGUUCCUUAAAACCCUUUCAUGCGUGGUCCACCUUCCCUGUGGCCGACAUGGUUGCUGUAUGGACAGUGGAGAGGACAUGGACUUCUCGUUUGUCAUGGCACUUUACUGCCAGCUGUUAACAUUUCUUAUUUUGUAUAACGGGUCAUUUAGGAUGGCAGUAGCGUUGUUGAUGAAAUGCAGUCAUAGCAGCAGAACUAGAAAGUAGUCUUGGGAAAAGAGGGUGGCAAAGAAGGGAGUUGCAAACAUAGGAUCUCUGCUCCAGUAUUCUCUUAGGGAGUUCUUCUUUAUAAUCCCCAUGAGAAGGACUGUCACCAGGAAUGUAUACAUUUCACUAAUUGUGGUUGUCCCCCCCACUCCUGUCUCUUUUCUCCUGUAGCUCCAAGGCAUAGUGAUUGGUCUCUACUAUGUCUCCCACCAACUCCUCUGUCAGAAACAACUUGAAGCACUCUGCCUCAGAUGGAAAUGGCAAGGGGUGUUGCACUCCAGACUGGGACUCCUCACAAACAGCAGGGCCAGGAGGGGUGAAAUGGCUGGCAGCCUUCCAGCUACCACAGAACUCCUUCAUCCACUAUCGGUCAGCCUCCAUCACCACCAGCAUCUUGAAAGGGAACUGGGACUUUGUCAGUGGACAAGGGGUCCUCUGUCACUGUCAGAAUCUGAUUCCUGGCUUUCAGACUCAGACUCGUUGUCAGAUUUUUUUUAAAUCUCCAGAAUUUCUGCAUUUCUGAGUUGUCUCCUUUUGAAAUACAUUGUUAAUGCUACAGCUUAGCUCAUUUGCUACAUACAUUAACAACAACACUGAAUGGCUCAGAGUGGGAGUGAGAGGUUACCGUGAUUGACUGCCUGCACGCGCCAUUUGUAUCAAUAAAUCACUAUCAGAAUUUUUGUUGUGCUAUUAUUGAUAUAUUUACUAUUUUAUUCACGUUUUUCAAUUACUGGUGAUAAAUCAUGCAUUCCGAUUUUUGCAUAGAUUUUAAUGGGCACAUAGUAUGUGUGUAAAAUAAUGUUUUUAAGGUUGUACUGAUAAUGAGCUAAGCUAAUUCCAGCUAUGUGUGUGGAGCCAUGUUUGUUGACACAAUGCAUUCUGGGUUUCUCUUGAUCGUCUGUCGGACCAAAGAUGCUAUAACAAAAUGAGGUGAGUAAGGGUUCACUCAUUUUGAGAUCUUCAGGAAGUGAAUGUGGGAUGUGAACGAUGGUAGACGACACACCCCUUCAACAUGCAUACUAUAAACAGACCAAACUAAUCUUGUCUUCUCUUAUCUUUGGUUUCUGAGGUAAAAAAGCAUGGCUGCGCGCUGAAACUAAUCAUCAGAUUACUUUCGAUUUCUAGAAAGUGUUUUACUCAAUUAUUUUGAUCAAUGGUGAGCUCAUCCAUGAUGUGAUUAAUUAUACAUAGUAAUUGCUAUUAGCUAAUUCAUAGUAUAGUUUACGUCAGCUUGUGUUGCGUCAAUCUUUCCUCAGCACUAGGACAAAUGUAGCCUACAUUUUUCUGGUUAGGAUGAUUGUGUUAUGCUAUAGAUACUUCUGUGAACAUCUGAACAUUGCAUCCAAAAAUAAAC
rnacentral:lncRNA from 1 species